rnacentral:rRNA from 1 species
GAUGAACGCUGGCGGCGUGCCUAAUACAUGCAAGUCGAGCGAACGGACGAGAAGCUUGCUUCUCUGAUGUUAGCGGCGGACGGGUGAGUAACACGUGGAUAACCUACCUAUAAGGCUGGGAUAACUUCGGGAAACCGGAGCUAAUACCGGAUAAUAUUUUGAACCGCAUGGUUCAAAAGUGAAAGACGGUCUUGCUGUCACUUAUAGAUGGAUCCGCGCUGCAUUAGCUAGUUGGUAAGGUAACGGCUUACCAAGGCAACGAUGCAUAGCCGACCUGAGAGGGUGAUCGGCCACACUGGAACUGAGACACGGUCCAGACUCCUACGGGAGGCAGAAGUAGGGAAUCUUCCGCAAUGGGCGAAAGCCUGACGGAGCAACGCCGCGUGAGUGAUGAAGGUCUUCGGAUCGUAAAACUCUGUUAUUAGGGAAGAACAUAUGUGUAAGUAACUGUGCACAUCUUGACGGUACCUAAUCAGAAAGCCACGGCUAACUACGUG